rnacentral:tRNA from 1 species
AAAGAAGGACAGAAAUCAAUAAGUGCUGCUAAUACUUAUGCCCCGGGGUUAAAGUCCUCGGCUUCUUUA